rnacentral:rRNA from 1 species
GACGAACGCUGGCGGCGUGCUUAAUACAUGCAAGUCGAACGGAAAGGCCCUGCGUUUGUGGGGUGCUCGAGUGGCGAACGGGUGAGUAACACGUGAGUAACCUGUCCUUGACUUUGGGAUAACUUCAGGAAAAUGGGGCUAAUAUCGCAUAGGAGCUCUUGCUGCAUGGUGGGGGUUGGAAAGAUUCGGCGGUUGGGGAUGGACUCGCGGCUUAUCAGCUUGUUGGUGGGGUAGUGGCUUACCAAGGCUUUGACGGGUAGCCGGCCUGAGAGGGUGACCGGCGACAUUGGGACUGAGAUACGGCCCAGACGCCUACGGGAGGCAGCAGUGGGGAAUAUUGCACAAUGGGCGGAAGCCUGAUACAGCAACGCCGCGUGCGUGAUGACGUCCUUCGAGUUGUAAACCGCUUUCUCCUGUGACGAAGCGUGAGUGACGGUAAUGGAUAAAGAAGCACCGGCUAACUACGUG